CGCACGGGUGAGUAACACGUAUGCAACCUGCCUGCCACAGCCGGAUAAUCGGGAGAAAUCCCGUCUAAUACGGCAUAAUGCAUCGACGGGACAUCCUGUUGGUGCCAAAGGUUGAUUCCGGUGGCGGAUGGGCAUGCGUCGCAUUAGUUAGUUGGCGGUGUAACGGACCACCAAGACGACGAUGCGUAGGGGUUCUGAGAGGAAGGUCCCCCACACUGGUACUGAGACACGGACCAGACUCCUACGGAAGGCAGCAG
rnacentral:rRNA from 1 species